rnacentral:lncRNA from 1 species
CCCCAGUGCAACUUGAGGCCAUAAAAGCCUCCAAGUAUAGCUGAGCCAUGUGUCUCACCACACAAAGAGCCACACAAGGGAUCUGGUAUGUAUAAGCUUGAUUUACUUGUCAAAAACAUGUAUGCACUUAAAAAUGCCAACUAGCGUAUCAUAUCUUUAAGCAGUUGUGCCAGCUACAGUUCUAGAGGACUGGCUAAUAUUUUUUGGAAUACUUAUGCCAUAUAGUACACCAGUUUAAUAAUAUGUUUUUACAGUUCAGUGCUGAAAACAGGGAAACUGUCCCUAGAAGUGUGGCUAGAUGAAGGCCAAUUUCUCUGUGCUCUUCAUGUGGUACGUGGUAUGGUGCAUUCUGCUUGAAUUUCCAGAACUAUGUCUUGAUUUCUCUGCUAAAUUAAAAGAGAGAUGCACCACACUAUUGUUUGGUCAAAUGAAGUGAUCUGUACAAGCUGGCAGGGGAAAGACCAUCUUAAUUCAUGUGUGUCUAUGGUAUUCAUAGAGAAGAUUUGGAAUAUGAUAGUUCGCUGUGAUGAUAGUAUUCUUCAUGAUUAAUUUUAUUGAAGUGCAACAUGGAAGGAGAAAGAAGAAUUCAAAGCAACAUCUACUUCAGUCACAGCGUUCUGCUGCUCAGUCCCAGUAAAGUUAGGAUGACUGCAGGCCUGUUCUACAGGAUGGGAAUUUGAGCUAACAGUCACAGAAAGUAAGACAUUGUGUCUAUCUUGUGACUUUCAGUACAAGUAACAUUGAAUAUUUUGUUUUUUAGUUAAUACUAGUAAAAGUCAACCCCAACUGCUCAGUGAACUGAACUGUGAAAUAAGAGUGCCAAGGAAUAUCGUAAUCAGACACUGACUCAAUAGAGCUACUUUAAAAAAGGAAGGAAAGUGUGUCAGGGAAAUUCACUGAUUGAGUGUUCCCUCUAAGAGGACUAUAAAUAUUCCAUAUACUUUAAAAAUUAUUUUGUUUAGUGAAAUAUUUGAAAAGUGUGAAGUAUCUCUAUCAGAAGCAGUGGAGUUUUUUUUAAAUGCAAAAUACAACAUUUGAAGUGUGGUGGAUUAGAGAACGAGUUUAUGUACUUGAUAACAGUGACUAAUGUGGAAGUGAGUGACCAUUUGAUAAAGUAGCUAUAGACCUCUGCCAGCAAAAAUGCCCAAAAUGCUGUCAGGCUUCCAAUCAUGUUGUUCAGAAGCGGAAAUCAGCCCCUGACUGAAAGCUGCAUGUAGCACAUAUUGCUAUGAAAAUACCAUUAACAUUAACAAG